AAGGAGAACGCUGGUGGGUGGCGAAGGUUUCAAUACGAAGACGCGUUUGGACCACAACCAGGAGGGAGCAGCAAUACAUCGCGCACUACUAAAACUGCAAUACCAUCGUCUUAUAAAGCAUCAUCGGUCAUAAGUUCAACACCGACUUCUAUACCAAGCACUGAAAAUGAUAAUAUAUUAACAGUAUCAACUUCCUCACCUGUGGUUUCAACACUAAAGACCACUAUAUCCGAAAUAACGACAUCGGUUACCGCGAACACGACCAAGGAAACCGUAACAACGUCUUUAACAUCUUCAAGCCACACUACUCGAAGAAUAAUGCUGUUAUUUUCUAGAAAAAGCUCUAGCACUACGUCCAAUGUAUCGAAUUCUAAUGAAGGUCACAAGCUACAAUCGAAUGCAGCACAUAUAGUGUCAUCUACAAAAUUUAGCGUAUCAAAAAACGUUACACCGCGCGACACAGACCUAGAAGUGUCACAAGCAGCAGCAGAACUCGAGAAAGAACUUGGCUCUAACUUAGAGAACUGGAAAAAAAAAGCAUCGCGAAAAUUACCUAAAAUAUGGAGGGCUACCACAA